UUCCGUAGGGGUGAACCUGCGGAAGGAUCAUUACCGAGUGAGGGCCCUUUGGGUCCAACCUCCCACCCGUGUUUAUUUUACCUUGUUGCUUCGGCGGGCCCGCCUUUACUGGCCGCCGGGGGGCUCACGCCCCCGGGCCCGCGCCCGCCGAAGACACCCCCGAACUCUGUCUGAAGAUUGAAGUCUGAGUGAAAAUAUAAAUUAUUUAAAACUUUCAACAACGGAUCUCUUGGUUCCGGCAUCGAUGAAGAACGCAGCGAAAUGCGAUACGUAAUGUGAAUUGCAAAUUCAGUGAAUCAUCGAGUCUUUGAACGCACAUUGCGCCCCCUGGUAUUCCGGGGGGCAUGCCUGUCCGAGCGUCAUUGCUGCCCUCAAGCCCGGCUUGUGUGUUGGGCCCCGUCCUCCGAUUCCGGGGGACGGGCCCGAAAGGCAGCGGCGGCACCGCGUCCGGUCCUCGAGCGUAUGGGGCUUUGUCACCCGCUCUGUAGGCCCGGCCGGCGCUUGCCGAUCAACCCAAAUUUUUAUCCAGGUUGACCUCGGAUCAGGUAGGGAUACCCGCUGAACUUAAGCAUAUCAAUAAGACGGAGGAA
rnacentral:rRNA from 1 species